AGUGAACGCUGGCGGUAGGCCUAACACAUGCAAGUCGAACGGCAGCACAGUAAGAGCUUGCUCUUACGGGUGGCGAGUGGCGGACGGGUGAGGAAUACAUCGGAAUCUACUUUUUCGUGGGGGAUAACGUAGGGAAACUUACGCUAAUACCGCAUACGACCUACGGGAGAAAGCAGGGGAUCUUCGGACCUUGCGCGAUCGAUUGAGCCGAUGUCGGAUUAGCGAGGUGGCGGGGUAAAGGCACACCAAGGCGACGAUCCGUAGCUGGUCUGAGAGGAUGAGCAGCCACAGUGGAACUGAGACACGGUCCAGACUCCUACGGGAGACAGCAGUGGGGAAUAUUGGACAAUGGGCGCAAGCCUGAUCCAGCCAUACCGCGUGGGUGAAGAAGGCCUUCGGGUUGUAAAGCUGUUUUGUUGGGAAAGAAAGGCAGCAGGUUAAUACCCCGCUGUUCUGACGGUACCCAAAGAAUAAGCACCGGCUAACUUCGUG
rnacentral:rRNA from 1 species